GACGAACGCUGGCGGGCGAUGCCUAAUUACGAGUGCAAGUCGAGCGAACGAGGAUGAAGUGCGUUGCACUUCUGACGUUAGCGGCGAACGGGUGAGUAACACGUAAGGAAUCUACCUAUAAGCGGGGGAUAACAUUCGGAAACGGGUGCUAAUACCGCAUAAUAUCUUCUUCCGCAUGGAAGAAGAUUGAAAGACGGCUCUGCUGUCACUUAUAGAUGACCUUGCGGUGCAUUAGUUAGUUGGUGGGGUAAUGGCCUACCAAGACGAUGAUGCAUAGCCGACCUGAGAGGGUGAUCGGCCACAUUGGGACUGAGACACGGCCCAG
rnacentral:rRNA from 1 species